rnacentral:piRNA from 1 species
UGAUGCAGGCGAACUCCAAAAUUGGACCU